rnacentral:tRNA from 1 species
UGGCUCAGCCCGGUAGAGCACUGCGUUCGGGACGCAGGGGUCGCAGGUUCAAAUCCUG